GAAGGAGACUUCAUCUUCAGAAUGAGAGAUGCCCUGAAGCUGACGAGGGGAAGGAGAGAUGCCCUGAGGCUGAUGAGGGGAAAAGAGAAGUGUCCUGAGCCUGACAAGGGGAAGGAGAGAUGCCCUGAGUCUAACGAGGGGAAGGAGACUUCAUCUUCAGAAUGAGAGAUGCCCUGAAGCUGACGAGGGGAAGGAGAGAUGCCCUGAGGCUGACGAGGGGAAGGAGACUUCAUCUUCAGAAGGAGAGAUGCCCUGAGGCCGACGAGGGGAAGGAGACUUCAUCUUCAGAAGGCGAGAUGCCCUGAGGCUGACGAGGGGAAGGAGACUUCAUCUUCAGAAGGCGAGAUGCCCUGAGGCUGACGAGGGGAAGGAGAGAUGCCCUGAGGCUGACGAGUGGAAGGAGACUUCAUCUUCAGAAGGAGAGAUGCCCUGAGGCUGACGAGGGGAAGGAGAGAUGCCCUGAGGCUGACAAGGGGAAGGAGACAUCAUCUUCAGAAGGAGAGAUGCCCUGAGGCUGACAAGGGGAAGGAGACUUCAUCUUCAGAAGGCGAGAUGCCCUGAGGCUGAGGAGGGGAAGGAGAGAUGCCCUGAGGCUGACGAGGGGAAGGAGACUUCAUCUUCAGAAGGAGAGAUGCCCUGAGGCUGACGAGGGGAAGGAGAGAUGCCCUGAGGCUGACGAGGGGAAGGAGAGAUGCCCUGAGGCUGACGAGGGGAAGGAGAGAUCCCUGAGGCUGACGAGGGGCAGGAGACUUCAUCUUCAGAAGGAGAGAUGCCCUGAGGCUGACGAGGGGAAGGAGACUUCAUCUUCAGAAGGAGAGAUGCCCUGAGGCUGACAAGGGGAAGGAGAGAUGCCCUGAGGCUGACGAGGGGAAGGAGACUUCAUCUUCAGAAGGAGAGAUGCCCUGAGGCUGACGAGGGGAAUUAGAGAUCCCCUGAGGCUGACGAGGGGCUGGAGACUUCAUCUUCAGAAGGAGAGAUGCGCUGAGGCUGACGAGGAGAAGUAGAGAUAACCUGAGGCUGAUGAGGGGAAGGAGAGGUGUCCCGAGCCUGACAAGGGAUAGGAGAGAUGCCCUGAGACUGACGAGGGGAAGUAAACUUCAUCUUCAGAAUGAGAGAUGCCCUGAGGCUGACGAGGGGAAGGAGACUUCAUCUUCAGAAGGAG
rnacentral:lncRNA from 1 species